UUGGAUAUUAAUCUGACUGGGUUGGCUGGUGCACCUAAAUAAUACAUAUAUCCUCCUCAACCCCAUCGGUCUCUCUGAUUCCUAAAUCAUCCCCAAACAUUUCUGGUGGCCCAUAUGGGGAUUGGAGAUAACAGAUUUACUGUCUCCUUUGCCCAUGGGACUAGGGCCCUGGGGCUGUGGAAGACCUGGCAUCCAAGGCAUGCCAUGGGGGAGUUUCACCCGGAUGGAGACUGGCUCUCCCCGCAUCCUGCCCAGCAGUGCAACUGAACCUGAGAUGGGGCUGCAGGAUGACACCAGCACUUCAGGAACCGCGUUGCAGGUGUCACACCUUGGAUUCACCAUAGCUGGCUGAAACUAGCAGCAGCAGUGACUCCCGACUAUGACCAGUGGAUUAACCAACAAGACCCUGAUUGCCCCACCCGAAUAGACCUACGGCGAAUCCCAACCACCAGUAAGAAGGACAACUGCCCUGCUCUGACCACACUGGAGGCUGGUCAGUCUACACAUGGCUGAAGCUUGAAGAUCUUGCAAGCUCUGCUCUAGUCACAUCCUGGAAGCUGACUAGUCUACACACAGCCGAAGCUAAGAGGACCAUCUCUAGAUAACCCAAAGAUAAGAAUGAAGAGACACUAAACCUCUGAUUUUUGCAUUCUAAAGAGAAUUGUCAACAAGGACUAAGUGAAGCAUCUCUCUCCAGGUUUGUGAAAAGGUGUCAGAGCCAGAGGAGAAGAGUGGACAACCCAACUGCCCACCACAGGUCCCUAGAAGUACAGGUCAAGCCUAUGCUGGGGAGAGGCAAACAGUUUCCUGGUACAUAGCCGCUAAAACCCCUGGAAUUU
rnacentral:lncRNA from 1 species